GUAAGUUCAUCACAUUUACAUUUUUAUGCAAUUGAGUAUUCAUAAAUCAUAACCAUUUUGGUUACUAACUACUAAGUAGCUAUUAGCUAAUUUUUGUUCUUGUUUAAUUUUGAAUUCAGGCUGUUUUGAGUUGUGGGAUCAAGCUAGAACAAGAUUUGAAGAUGCCCAACCAUGGUCAUGGUCAUCACCAUCAUCAUGAUGGUUCACAUGAUAAUGCAUUGAUGUCACUUUGUUGUUGCCCAUGCAUGAUGGUGUCUUCAUUAUUUGGGAUGAUUGGGAGUUGUGUCUCUUGUCUUUGUUACCCGGUUCUUCACUGUUUUGGACUGGAUCAUCAUCGUCCCCAUCCCCCACCGCAUCACCACCGGUUCUAAUAAAAAUAUGAACCAUAUGGCUAAGUUGUUCAUGGUUUGUAUUAUUUAACAAGUUAAGUGCUUUUGUUUUCUUUUACUUUUAUUGUGGGUGGAUAUUCAUUAGUAAUUUUGUAAACUGGUAUGUACCCCAAAUCUUUGAAUCUUAAUGGUUAUGUAGUUGAUUUCUAUUGGUGCAUGUUUCUAUCUUGUGUUUGUGAAGAUCUGUUUGACUGAUGUGUUCUUUAAUAUUUUAAACAAAAAGUAUGAUCUUUUAUAUAAGACCAAUAGACUAUCUCCAAAAAAAAGUAAAUGUGAUUCUUCCAAGGUGGUUGGGGGUUUAAAUACUCAUGGUGGAUUUAUACGGUUGCAGAUUUUGAAGUAAGUUUAGGGUGUGUGAGUUAGUCGUUCUAAAACAUAUCUCCAAACAACUCAUAUCUCUUCCACUUCAGUGGUAGUCACGACCCACUACCCGACCUCUCCUUCUCCACCUCACGUAACUUGGAUAGAUUUAGGCCCUUUCCCUUUGUCCUCCCCCUCUCACACACCUUGUGCGAGCACGCCCUUGCACACAGGAUCUACCUCACACAUGGUCUUAUCCAGCGCUCUACUCCCAUGGGCCUCUCCACCUAAGAAAAAAUAUAUUUAUAUAAUAAUAUUUAUACAAACAUGUGUAGAUAAAUACCCACACAUUUACAUGUGUAGGUAAAUUAUGUAUGGGUAAACACAGGGGUGGACUUAUGUACAAAGUACGGGUUCCCGGGAACCCAGUCGGUUUUUAAUUUUUUGUGUAAAUAUAUAUAAGAAGCUGAAAAGGAACCCAUAAGUAUAUUAUAAAAGGAACCCAUAAACAUAAAAAGCCUUGGUUCCACUGGUUAUGUCCGCGCUUUUCUUCCUAACCCUCCCGAGUUCGAAUCCCGUAACUGCUGUUUUUUGUCCGUUUUUUUUUAAUUUCUCCUUUAAUUUUUUUUUCUUUGAUGUAAUAAAACCCAUUUAGGGUUAUAUCACAAAACACACGCCGCACACAAACAAGCAACGAACAGAGUUCAAACUUCAAACAACAUCAGCAGGUAGCAGCUCCACCUCCUCAGUCACCAGCGCCGACUGCCGCUGCUCCGCCUCUGCCCUCCGGCUGCUCCGCCUUCGACGAUUGCUGCCGAAACUUUGUUUUUCUUAUAUGAUUAUCAUCAGCGAAUCAACGAUUAAGAUAUAUCAAAGCACCAGUGGCUGUUGUUCAUAAUGAAAUCGGAGGAAUAACAUGGGGGAAUUCAACAAUUGUUGAUUGAAUCGUGUGCACUUUUUGUUGCUCCACCAUAAAUUUACAUCUUGUAGAUGCAUAUUAGAGGGUGCAAAAGCAGCUUGUGCUUUGAUAUAUUUCGAGUCCUCCCUGUAUUCACUCGACGGUUUUAAGCAUCAAAGUAGGCGAUAUUUUAGGUGUGCUCCAAUGGUGCUGGGCUCUUUUCCUUUGGUCUCUUGUUCCGGCUGGGCUUAUGUUCGUGGGCUGCUAUUUGGGCUAAGGGUUUCUCGUUUGCAUCUUUAUAAAAGAGGGGUGUUGUCUUGGGAUUAUACGCACCGCCUCUCAUUGUUUCUCCUUCUCAAACCCUAAACAUCUACUGAUCCCUCACACGUACAUUCGUGAGGAAGCCUUUGUUCUUGGUUUUAAUCAUUUGAUUCAUCUGUAAAGCCUGUUAAUCUGUGAUGACUGGCUAGGGUUCUUGUACUGUUAUUCGGAGAAGUUCAUUAAUAAAGUUGCA